rnacentral:rRNA from 1 species
GACGAACGCUGGCGGCGUGCUUAACACAUGCAAGUCGAGCGGUAAGGCCUCAAGCUUGCUUGGGGUACACGAGCGGCGAACGGGUGAGUAACACGUGAGUAAUCUGCCCUUCACUCUGGGAUAAGCUUCGGAAACGGGGUCUAAUACCGGAUACGACCACUUCCUGCAUGGGAUGGUGGUGGAAACUUUUGUGGGUGGGGGAUGUGCUCGCGGCCUAUCAGCUUGUUGGUGGGGUAAUGGCCUACCAAGGCUUCGACGGGUAGCCGGCCUGAGAGGGUGACCGGUCACACUGGGACUGAGACACGGCCCAGACUCCUACGGGAGGCAGCAGUGGGGAAUAUUGGACAAUGGGCGGAAGCCUGAUCCAGCAACGCCGCGUGAGGGAUGACGGCCUUCGGGUUGUAAACCUCUUUCACCAUUGACGAAGUCGCACAGUGUGUGUGGUGACGGUAGGUGGGGAAGAAGCACCGGCCAACUACGUGCCAGCAGCC